rnacentral:lncRNA from 1 species
GCCAGUAACCAGCAGGUAGCCUAGUGGUUAGAGCGUUGGGCCAGUAACCAGCAGGUAGCCUAGUGGUUAGAGCGUUGGGCCAGUAACCAGCAGGUAGCCUAGUGGUUAGAGCGUUGGGCCAGUAACCAGCAGGCAGCCUAGUGGUUAGAGCGUUGGGCCAGUAACCAGCAGGGUAGCCUAGUGGUUAGAUCGUUGGGACAGUAACUGAAAGGCUGCUGGAUUGAAUCCUAGAGCCGACAAGGUAAAAAUCCGUCAUUCUGCCCAUCAGCAAGGCAGUUAACCAACAACAACAACUGCUCUCGCGUGACGUGGACGUGAAUUAAGGCCCCACACCUCUCUGAUUCAGAGGAAGACACAUUUCAAUCAAAUGCAUUCAGUUGUACAACGAGCUAGGCAUCCCCCAGGGUGGCUGUCAUACUGUUGAUGACCACUAGGUGGUACCAAUACCCUGUAUCUCUCUGAGGCUGUAAUACUGUUGAUGACCACUAGGUGGUGCCAACACCCUGUAUCUCUCUGAGGCUGUAAUACUGUUGAUGACCACUAGGUGGUGCCAAUACCCUGUAUCUCUCUGAGGCUGUCAUACUGUUGAUGACCACUAGGUGGUGCCAAUACCCUGUAUCUCGCUGAGGCUGUAAUACUGUUGAUGACCACUAGGUGGUACCAAUACCCUGUAUCUCUCUGAGGCUGUAAUACUGUUGAUGACCACUAGGUUGUACCAAUACAUAUCAAACAUAUUUUAUCCCUUCAUGGAGACAUUGGCCGUGUCCGAAUACCUGUAUGGGGGUCCUUGAUACACACGGGAAACUGUUGAGCGUAAAAAACCCAUCAGUGAGACAGUUCAUGUCUUGAUCAGAGGAAGGUGGUCUAACCGCUGAACUGGUAUCUAACCUCUGAACUGGUAUCUAUCCGCUGAACUGGUAUCUAUCCGCUGAACUGGUAUCUACUGGUAUCUAACCGCUGAACUGGUAUCUAACCGCUGAACUGGUAUCUAUCCGCUGAACUGGUAUCUAUCCG